UUUACACCCCCAUCACUGCAGUGCCUGAGCAUCUCUGAGACACGACAGAACUUAUCCUUACACCACCCUGGGAGGCACGGAAGUGCUGCCCCCAUUUUACAGAUGGGGAAUGGAGGCACAGAGAUGACGUGACUUGCCCAACGAUACAAAGUCAAUGGCAGAGCCAGGACAUGAACCCCGCUUUCCUGACUCCCACUCCAGUGCCUUAAUGACAAGCCCAUCUUCUGCUCUCUUAUAUGGGCUGUCUGCGGGGACCAGGAUUUGGUCUUAUUGCGAGUUCUCCCAAGGAAAACACCUUGCUUCACUUCCCAGUGGACCUUCACUCCUCCGACUGUACGAUGAGUUUCUCCGGAAAGGAUAAACCUGCACUCCCAUGGGGUGCCAGUGGAAAUUGCCCCGCACCUCUUUUUCCCCUUCCUGGGCAGUGGUGGCGACCUCUCCCUGCCAUCGACUGGGACAGGUUUUUGUACAGCCGUGUGUCACUGUGGUGGAUCUUCGGUGGAGGAACCCAGCUGACCGUCCUUGGUCAGCCAAAGGCAUCUCCUACCGUGCACCUCUUCCCUCCAUCCUCGGAAGAGAUAAAAACAAAGAACAAAGCCACACUGGUGUGUCUGCUGGGCAGCUUUUAUCCAGGGUCAGUCCAAGUCACCUGGAAAGCUGACGGCCAGCAGAUCUCCACUGGAGUGGAGACGGCCAAGCCAUCCAAACAGAGUGACAACAAGUUCAUGGCCAGCAGUUACCUGUCUCUGGAUGCAUCAAAGUGGAAGACCCAUGACACCUACACCUGCCAGGUGACACACGAUGGGAAGAACUUCGAGAAGUCCCUGAAGAGCUCAGAGUGUUCUUAGCCUUCUGACCACAGGGGGCUCAGCCGGCUCCCGUGUCAGUCUGGAGGAGGUCCCCAGAGGAGCCAGAAUCUACCUGUAGCACAGCUAUAGUGCUGAUUUCCAGUAAAUCUGCUUCCUGUUUUAGGUGGGGGAUUUUACCAAUCCAUAUGACACCUGUCUUUAUUCCCAUGUCCCCUCUGCUCUUAUCCCUCUGCAUUCCCUGGAAGUGUCCUUCCUGCUUUAGCCUCUGAUGCAGCAUUGUUAGGAUAUUAAUAAAUCCAGAAACAUUCAAGUAUUGCUGUAUCUGUGAAGAGUUUAACUUCUUCCAUCCCUUUUACACCUUGUGUAUUAAUUGCAAUAUUCACCUUCUCUUCCAAUAAAAUAAACUUACCUUUU